AUACGGAGGGUCCAAGCGUUAUCCGGAAUCAUUGGGUUUAAAGGGUCCGCAGGCGGGCAAUUAAGUCAGAGGUGAAAGCCCAUCGCUCAACGAUGGAACUGCCUUUGAUACUGGUUGACUUGAGUUAUACGGAAGUAGAUAGAAUAAGUAGUGUAGCGGUGAAAUGCAUAGAUAUUACUUAGAAUACCGAUUGCGAAGGCAGUCUACUACGUAUAUACUGACGCUGAGGGACGAAAGCGUGGGGAGCGAACAGGAGUAGAUACCCCAGUAGUCC
rnacentral:rRNA from 1 species